rnacentral:rRNA from 1 species
CAGCAGCCGCGGUAAUACGAAGGUCCCAAGCGUUGUUCGGAAUCACUGGGCGUAAAGGGUGCGUAGGCGGUUUGGUAAGUCAGAUGUGAAAUCCCGGGGCUCAACCCCGGAACUGCAUCCGAUACUGCCAGACUAGAAGACUGGAGAGGUGACUGGAAUUCUCGGUGUAGCAGUGAAAUGCGUGGAUAUCGAGAGGAACACUCGUGGCGUAAGCGAGUCACUGGACAGUAUCUGACGCUGAGGCACGAAGGCCAGGGUAGCGAAAGGGAUUAGAUACCCCUGUAGUCCUGGCAGUAAACGGUGUGCACUUGGUGUGAGGGGAAUCGACCCCCCUUGUGCCGGAGCUAACGAGUUAAGCGCACCGCCUGGGAAGUACGGCCGCAAGGCUAAAACUCAAAG